rnacentral:rRNA from 1 species
GCUUAACACAUGCAAGUCGUACGAGAACUCUUCUGCUUGCAGAAGAUAGUAAAGUGGCGCACGGGUGAGUAACGCGUGGGUAAUCUGCCUCUGAAUCGGGGAUAACUCCGCGAAAGCGGAGCUAAUACCGGAUAAUAUCUUUUUACUUAGGCUAAAAAAAUCAAAGGUGGUCUCUACAUGUAAGCUACUGUUUGAGAUGAGCCCGCGUACCAUUAGCUUGUUGGUGGGGUAAUGGCCUACCAAGGCUGCGAUGGUUAGCUGGUCUGAGAGGAUGAUCAGCCACACUGGAACUGACACACGGUCCAGACUCCUACGGGAGGCAGCAGUGAGGAAUUUUGCGCAAUGGGGGAAACCCUGACGCAGCAACGCCGCGUGAGUGACGAAGGCCCUCGGGUCGUAAAGCUCUGUCAAGUGGGAAGAAAAUGCUUGAUGUUAAUACCAUCUUGCACUGACGGUACCACUGAAGGAAGCACCGGCUAACUCCGUG